UAUCUAAGGCAAACGCUGCAAAUCUUUUUUUGUAGAGGAAAGUCCAUGCUCACACAUUCUGCGAUGAAUGUAAAGUUUGUGCUUAGGGAAAAAAUAACCUAAGGUAGCUUAUGCUAACGGCUCCGAACAUUUCUUUUAAAGAAGUAAGUAGGUAUAAAAGUGCCAAAGAGACGAGCCUUUUAGUAAUAAAAGGAGUGGAACGUGGUAAACCCCGCAAGUGAGAAACCCAAAUUUUGGUAGGGGAACUAAUCAAAGGAAAAUGAACCUAAGAUUGGAUGUGUAUACAUAGAUAAAUGUUUGCCGCUUUAUUUAAAAGCACAGAACAUGGCUUAUUAAG
rnacentral:RNase_P_RNA from 1 species